CCUACGGGUGGCAGCAGUGGGGGAUAUUGCACAAUGGGGGGAACCCUGAUGCAGCGACGCCGCGUGGGUGAAGAAGCGCCUCGGCGCGUAAAGCCCUGUCAGCCGGGAAGAAAAUGACGGUACCUGAAGAAGAAGCCCCGGCUAACUACGGGCCCGCAGCCGCGGUAAUCCGUAGGGGGCAAGCGUUAUCCGGAUUUACUGGGUGUAAAGGGGGCGCAGACGGCGAUGCAAGCCAGGAGUGAAAGCCCGGGGCUCAACCCCGGGACUGCUCUUGGAACUGCGUAGCUGGAGUGCAGGAGGGGCAAGCGGAAUUCCUGGUGUAGCGGUGAAAUGCGUAGAUAUCAGGAGGAACACCAGUGGCGAAGGCGGCCUACUGGACUGCAACUGACGUUGAGGCCCGAAAGCGUGGGGAGCAAACAGGAUUAGAUACCCUAGUAGUC
rnacentral:rRNA from 1 species